ensembl:rRNA 5S_rRNA 5S ribosomal RNA
CACUCUCAAGUCACAUGUGUUUGUGUCCUGUCUCAUCCGACCUUGGAAGCUAAGCAAAGCCAGGCCUGGAUAGUACUUGGAUGGGAGGCCACCGGAUUUUGACAGGAUAGUUAGUGC